rnacentral:rRNA from 1 species
UACGUAGGGUGCGAGCGUUGUCCGGAAUUAUUGGGCGUAAAGAGCUUGUAGGCGGUUUGUCGCGUCUGCUGUGAAAAUCCGGGGCUCAACUCCGGACUUGCAGUGGGUACGGGGCAGGCUAGAGUGUGGUAGGGGGAGACUGGAAUUCCUGGUGUAGCGGUGGAAUGCGCAGAUAUCAGGAGGAACACCGAUGGCGAAGGCAGGUCUCUGGGCCACUACUGACGCUGAGAAGCGAAAGCAUGGGGGAGCGAACAGG